GAAGCUACACUUCAUAAUGAAAUCUCAAUGUGAAUUCCAUAACAGAACCCAGACAACAUAAACAGUAACAAAGGAGCAAAGACUAACAAUAUUGACAUAAUCUCAGUUAAAACAGUUCAAACUCUUUGAUUUCUACGGUAUUUUGAAGCUAUACAACCUAUUGAUAACAUAAUGUAGUCAGAAAUACACUAUUAAGGUGGCAAGAGGACCAUAAACAAAUCUGAUGUACUACUCCCUUCAAAUGACUUGUUAUUUCAGUAGUACGGUCUGUACCUCACAGAACUGCUGAAAAUUCAUCUACUUGGACACUUGUUCACCCUGCCAAACAAACAAGCAAAAGAACAAGUCCAAGUUGAGAUAGAAAAGAUAAAUGAACACGAAAGAUACAAGAUUGGUUCGAAUCAAGUAGCACAUUCUUCAGAUUAUAUGUACCACUAUCUUAUAGCUCAGAUUAUAGACAAGUAAACACCAUCCCAAUCAGGCAACCAACAACCAAUCGAACAACUCAACUAUAUAUUAAUUGCUAGUGUGCACUGUAGUCGGCAGUAGAAUGCCCCAGAAUUCGAAGUAGAUGAGACUCACCUCUCUGACGAACCAACACAGCAGCUCGCACUCGGUGAUCCAUUACCCUGCCUACACCAAGGACACCUCCACCGGCUCAGUGAAGGGCUCCCUUGCCACCGGAAAGCAACAGUGCUGGAGACAAAAUCCAAGCGAUGAUAGAGAUGUGAAAAUGGGUGGCAUGUUGAGAUCGAACCAGUAUGGUAAGUGACUAUUUCAUCAGAGACAGAUGGAAAUCGUACCACCCACAACAACUUGUCACCUAACAAUGCAUAUCCAUGGACAAUUUCUGUGGGAAAAUCAAAAUAACACACACCAAAGUACCAAAGUACAAAGUGAUUAAGUGAGAAUCCUAAAUAUUCCAAUGAGAAAGAACAUAAAGGGGACCAGUACCUGAAAUAUUGUGCAAUCAUAUCCAGAGCAGGUGAAGAAACACACAACAUACUAAUGAAUCCAAACCCUUAAAACCAUAUAGAUUUUUCUUUGUGCUAAUAUUCUGCAUCUGCAAGUCCUUCACUACCAAUGGUAAUAAUUACACUUGUCAGCAUAAUAUAUAAGACAAAGAUACUAUUGUUCUCUUAAGAGAUAUAGAUAACCGAAAUAUAUGUAUAUAGGUAACAUACUUUGACGUACAAUAAAUAAGAAAAAGAUAGUAUUGUUCUCUUAAGACAAACCAUUUGAUCCCAUUGCUUCCAAGUCGCAAAUCUUUACUCGUUCUGUAGUUUUCUUGUUAGCAUUUAUGUCGUGAACAAAGCUUCUUUAUCCAACUACCAAAUCUGAAUGUUG
rnacentral:lncRNA from 1 species